CCUACGGGAGGCAGCAGUGGGGAAUAUUGCACAAUGGGGGAAACCCUGAUGCAGCGACGCCGCGUGAGUGAUGAAGUAUUUCGGUAUGUAAAGCUCUAUCAGCAGGGAAGAAAAUGACGGUACCUGACUAAGAAGCCCCGGCUAACUACGUGCCAGCAGCCGCGGUAAUACGUAGGGGCCAAGCGUUAUCCGGAUUUACUGGGUGUAAGGGGAGCGUAGACGGUCCUGCAAGCCAGAUGUGAAAGCCCGGGGCUCAACCCCGGGACUGCUUUUGGAACUGUAGGGCUGGGGUGUCGGAGGGGCAGGGGAAUUCCUAGUGUAGCGGUGAAAUGCGUAGAUAUUAGGAGGAACACCAGUGGCGAAGGCGGCCUGCUGGACGAUGACUGACGUUGAGGCUCGAAAGCGUGGGGAGCAAACAGGAUUAGAUACCCCUGUAGUC
rnacentral:rRNA from 1 species